GUCGUGCGGCCCUGCGGGGAGGCAGCUUUUGUUUCCCGAGGGAGAUGGUUCUGGGCGCCGCGGCCUCCGCGGCCCACCUCUGCGGGAGCCGAGCGGCGGCUGCCGAGCCCCAGGACCCCCUAACACGGAAUUUUCCUCAGAAGUGUGUGGGCAGCGGCCUUGGCCGCCUCCCUGCCCGGGCCAAAGGCGGCGUCGCGCCUCGCGCGAAAUUUCCCGUCGUUUCCAGCCCCUGGAGGGUUUUGGCGUGGCCGCCGCCGCGUGGGUGGGCCCAGGACGCCGGGAGAAGGCGGCGGUGGAGGCUCUGCUGCCCUGCAGGCUCGAGCCCACCAGGACGCCCGCGGGCCUAGGCCGGGGAGGGACAGUGAGGGACAGAGUGGGGCAUCGAGGGACAGUGUGGAACAGCAUGGGACCGAGUGGGACGGCGCGAGACAGUGAGGGACAGUAAGGCCAUGUUGGUGAGGGCCUUUCAUGGGAGAGUUGAGAGUGGGUCUGCCCGGCCACCUCUCCUCUGACCACAUGUUUGGCAAUCAAGGCCAGGCCCUGGUGGCAGUUGACCCGGCCAGGGCCACCUACCGGCUUCCAGAAGGAGCGCUCCCACCCCUACCCUGGCGUCCCCUUGAGUUCCCAAUCUCAUGUUUACCUAGACCCACUCCGACCUCAACAUCUCUUGGCGUUGGGGCAGCCACUGAUGCCCAAGGACAGCACGCCAGCAAGCCGCGGGAGGAGGUUUCUCCGGGCGCCAGUGAUGCAACUUAGGCUUAUAGUUUAACCGAAGAAGCUGUCCUUGGAGUGAGAACAGGGGAGGUUCUGGCUCGGAAACCUUAGAAUCAGACACUGCCUUCCCAAAGAUGUUGGUUCUGUCUCUCCUCUCCCAGUAAUACGAGUCAUGUAUGUGUUCUUCUAUUCUGGAUGAAAGAAGAAUGAGAAAAGUGAUGUGGUGACGACAAGCCUACACUCUGCGUGUUUCCACUGAGGAGCCUAUACAACCUUGAGCCAAAGAAGGGGAUCUGGCACAGUGCAGUUUCAGACACCAGCAGUUCUUGGAGAGAGACGCUGCUGGCAGGGAGCAUCUUCCCAGCAUCUCUGAAGGGAAGGUAGCAAGUGACCAGAAGUCUGUGAGCAUUUACUUGUGAGCCCAUACUCAUAAACAUCCACAGGCAUGUUUCCUUAAAAAAAAUAGACUUAGUUUGUCCAUAAACUUAAAGUCCCUACAGAACUUUUAAAUCUGAACAGCUACACAUUUUCUCUGGAAUGCAAAGACAAUGGGGUAUCCUCAGUGACUGGGUCCAGUAGCAUUGUAAGAACUGAGUGAACACCAACUCUUCUUGGAAUUUCUAACUUUAUUCAUUUUUUCAUUCAUCCAUCAAUAAGUAUCUAUUGAACUCCUACUAUGUACCAGUCCAUACUAGGUACCCAAUAGUGAGCAAGAGAGAUACAAACACUCCCCUCAGAGAACUGUCAGUGUGGGGGUUAUGGACAAGCACACAGGAUGUUGUGAUGAAAUGCUGUGAUGGGGGCCAGCAGGGUGCUAUGGAAAUAAUAAGAGAGGCACCAGCCCAGAUGAAGGGAGGUCUACGCUGAGAACUGAAGGAUGCUUCAGCAGUGAGAUAAAGGGGGAAGAAUGUUCUUGGCAGGGCAAACAGCAAAUAUUCAGAAUGUGACGUUUGAGGAGGUCAAGUUCACUGUCAAUGACAAGAAGGUAAGAGAUGAGGUUGGAGAGGUUAAGGAGGGGCUGGGUUUUACUUGACUGUACAACCCAUGUUAAGAAGUUCAGACUGUUCUAAAAUUGGGGAGCCGCUGCAGAGGUUUAAAGUGGACAGUGAAAUGUUUAAAUUUGCAUGUUAGAAAGGUUACUCUUGUUGCCAUAGGCACUGUGUGACCAAAAGAGUUAUAAUUUGGGGCUGGGAGUGCUAGGUUAUCUUCUGAGUUCUGACUUAUCGUUUCUGGCUAGGGCGUCAGUUCUUCUAACUCUGGGACAUGAAGACCUGUACCUAUCCUUGGCAGUAAUUAUGGCUCAGACAGGAGACAAGAAGGCAGGCAGAGAGAGAGAGACAAAUGCAGAGUUUUGGUCAGCUCCUUGGUCUUCACCCACUCAGGGAUAAAUUCUACCACAUAAAGGAAAUGCUGAAUCAAAGGGACUGAACAUCUUUAAAAACUUUUUCAAUUGCCAAAGUGCAACCAGAUUAUUGGACCACUUGGGACAUCCACCAGCAGUACAGUGCCCAUUUGAUGACACACUCUCCAACUUCAGAUUUUUUGGCUUCCCUUGACUGUGACAGUUUCUCAGACUUCCUGUUUGUGAUGAUCUUCACAGUUUUGAGGUGCCUGGUCUGGUAUUUUGUCGAAUGUCCCUCAUUGGGAUUUAUCUAAUAUUUUUCUCAUGAUGUUAUUGGUUUUGGGGAGGAAGACCAUAGAGGUAAAGUGUCAUUUUCAUCACAUCAUAUCAAGGAUACAUGCUGUUACCAUGAUUUGUCACUGUUGAUGUUGACCCUGACCUGAGGAAUACAGAGCCUUUUUUUUUUUUUUGAGGAAGAUUAGCCCUGAGCUAACUGCUGCCAAUCGUCCUCUUUUCGCUGAGAAAGGCUGGCCCUGAGCUCACAUCCGUGUCCAUCUUCCUCUACUUUAUAUGUGGGACGCCUACCACAGCAUGGGUGCCAAGCGGUGCCAUGUCCGCACCUGGGAUCCCAACCGGCGAACCCCGGGCCCCCAAAGCGGAACUUGCACACUUAACCACUGAACCACUGGGCCGGCCCCUACAGUGCCUUUUAAAGCCCAUACAAACAAAAUCAGUGAUGUUGAGGUCAGGUCAACUAUUCUGAACAAAAUUUGGAGGUUCAAGUAAUCUUUGAAUCCUCGUGAAAACUGUGCAGUAGCUGGAAGAACUGUUGUGUUCGUUGCAGUUCAUGGACCUGGAUGAUAUGCUGAUGGGAAUUCCCUAAGUGUAAGGGUAAUUUUAUUCACUGUGUUUUUGGUGAUGUCACGAGUUAGGAAUUAAAGUUAGAACAGAAAGUCUUAAGAGCAGUUCUUUAAAAUAUUUAUGUAGCAUAUUGUUUGAACUACAGACAUUUUUGCUUGCAUCGCCAUGGGGGUAAGAACAUCUGUGUGUGUCUGUAUCCCAGAUGUAGCCUUUGAUUUUCUCGAAUUGUUCUGCAGAGGAACACAUCUUAUCUAGAAACGAUUCAGCUGUCUUGUUUCCAUUAUUCUUGUUUCCAUUCAGUGGGUAAACCUUUUGAAUGCCUGAGCAGUUAAAUUCCCCACAUCCUACAUUUAUCAUUUCCAGGAGCCAAUAAGAAAGGUUAGUAAAGUGAAUCUGAAUGAUUUAUUUGUACAGAACGGAUGAAUUUCCUCUUAGUCGUACAUCCGACACCCACAUGAUACCUCAUCUCUGAUGCUGGGAAGGAAGAUUUUCAGGAGAAAUUUGAUGCCCAAUUAGUGUGUUUUAAUUUAGUCAGUGGAAUUUCCAUCUGGCUCUAAUGUGUAUUCUGGAGGGUUAGACUAGAACAGAGUUGAACAAUUUAUUGGUUUGUGAGGUGAGGUCAGUAGGUACAAAGAACAUUUCACACAAGCAGGAUUUUAGACAUGCUGAGGUUUUCACCUCUUUUUGUUAGUUACAGGAUAGUUGGGGACAGAGAAAGCACAUGCUACUUAUUUUGUGAUUAAGCACUUAAUAUAAAUAGUUUAAAAUAAGAAACAACUUCACAAAAAUAGAUGAUAGAUGUCUUCUCUUCUAAAGAAAUUGGAAAUUUAC
rnacentral:lncRNA from 1 species